rnacentral:rRNA from 1 species
CCUACGGGUGGCAGCAGUCGAGAAUUUUUCUCAAUGGGGGCAACCCUGAAGGAGCGACGCCGCGUGGAGGAUGAAGGCUUUCGGGUUGUAAACUCCUGUCAUUUGAGAACAAGUGGCCGAACUUAACUACUUCGGCCUUGAUAGUAUCAGAAGAGGAAGGGACGGCUAACUCUGUGCCAGCAGCCGCGGUAAUACAGNGGUCCCGAGCGUUGUUCGGAUUCAUUGGGCGUAAAGGGUGCGUAGGUGGCGUGGUAAGUGGGGUGUGAAAUCCCGAGGCUUAACCUCGGGACUGCAUUCCAUAGUGCCGUGCUUGAGGACUGGAGAGGAGACUGGAAUUUACGGUGUAGCAGUGAAAUGCGUAGAGAUCGUAAGGAAGACCAGUGGCGAAGGCGGGUCUCUGGACAGUUCCUGACACUGAGGCACGAAGGCCAGGGGAGCAAACGGGAUUAGAUACCCCGGUANUC